AGCCCACUCAUCCCUGGCUGGGCCAAGGCAGUUUCACGAGGAAGGGGCGUGGUUCCGCCCCACAUUGCCCUCUUCUCCUGGAAGGAUUCUGUCCCAACCCCCAGAGUGAAAGGCCACACCCACACCAGGCCCGGGCCCUGCACCAGCCACUCACCAUGAAGGGGUUGGUGGAGAUCCCAGCUGGCUGGCUCAGUGGCCUCUGCCCCAGCUUGGCAGAUCCCUGGUCUCCGAAGGAAGAGCCUGGCAGGAAGAGCAAAAACUCAGCUGACGGGAACCCUGCCCCUCGGGGCUAGUGCUGCCUAGCUCGCCUGCCUCCCUGCAGGGCAGGCCCAGUUACAUCCCAAGGUGGGCAGCCAGCGGGGGCCUCCCCAAAGCCAGGAAGAAAUCUGUGGAACAGUCAGAGGACACAGGCAGGGUCCCCAAUUUCCUCUUGGCCUUAGAUCCCCUCCCUGGGUCUCUACACACAAGACUCACCUCCAAAGGAGAGCCCUGUGCUUCCGCCUCCACCAGUGGUGGCCGACUGGAGCGUGGGGACCUGGCUGGCCAUCCCGAACAUGCUGUGAUAUGGGGAGAAAAGUCGGCGUGCACAUCAUCUAGCACCAAGGAGGACUCGGGUCUCCAUUACUUCCCAGUCAGCGACCUCCUAGUGCACAGCCUGCACAACUCCUGAUGCAGUUUUAGCCAUUUCCUUACAUGAAGAAAGAGAACAGAGCCCCUUCUUCCUGACAAGAACCUCAUCAGACUGCCCUCAUCCUUUCCUGGAGCUUCUCCUCUUUGUGCGGUACUUUGGGUGGGUGCGGAUGUGAAUGCAGGGUGAUGUAUGGGUGUGGACAGUGGGUCACAGUUGCAAGCAAGGAAGCCAGAGGGGCAGAGCUUACCUGGGGGUGCUGGCUGCGCCUGGAACGGGGCUUGGCCAGCUGGAGGCAUGCUUCCAAAUGCAGAAGAGCCAGGGCUACUGCCAAAAGCAUCGAAGUUGGCAAAGCCCCCAUGGGAAGGCGUCUGGCCUAUAGGUGGAGAGAAUAUAAAGGUUAUGUUUAUAUAUGAUGUAUAUGUAAUCCAUAUCACACGGACUAGUUCUGAAGGCCAAGGGCUGCUCAAUGGGACAUCUGCCUUCCUGCAGGGUCCUCUUCAGAGGGAGCUGGCAGGAGCCUGGGGCAGAGAGCCAGAACAUGCAGGGGAAAGGGCACCUCAGAGGCCUCCAAGUUCACUCCCCACUUUUUAUCCUUACUCCGUGAGGCAUUAACAUUUUUGUCAGGGCCUAGUUUAGGCGGAAUCAUGGAAAAAGAUUUUGCCGCGGGGAAGGGCUUUAAAAAGGAAAAAGGGAAACUAGAUAAUCACUUUGUUCCACCCUCUACUGGCUACUACUGAUCUUCUGGAAGAGGGCAGGGGAAAUGGAACCUGUGACAAUCCCCUUGCCCCAUUUUAACAGAGAGAGAAACUAAGAAAAAGGCUCUUUCCAAUGCUCUAAGAGGGAGGGCUGGGAGCCCCCAACUGCCAUGCUUUCUGGUCAAACUCCCAAAACCAAUCCCAGCUGUACUCAUCUGACCCACACCCUCCCAGCCGUGAUACUUCAGAAUUACCAUCACGUUCAUUCCUGUGCAGAGAGCUAGGGCCGAGUGAAUUCCUUGUGUGAUGGGGACAUAUGUUGUAGGAAGGUUCUCUUCCCAAGUCCCACUUACCCCCAAAGGCUGGGAAUGCAGCAAAAGCUGGUGCCACCUGGGGAGCAGCAAAGGGGUCUCCGCCGAUGUCGGCCAGCAGAUCCAAGGUAAGAGAUGCAAGACAUGGGAACAGCAGGGCUGAGAACCUGCUCACACCUCUUGGACCGUCGUCUGCUAAGUUCAAGCGAUUGGAUUUAGGAAACUGAUACCCCUGCCUCCCAAAUCCCAAAAUAAGUUGCAGGGCACAUCUGAGAGUUACCUGGCUGGAAGUGGAGGCAGCAGCCGAGAGAGAUGGCACAGGAUCCCCCAGAAGUGUCCGCGGGGGCUUCCCUUCUGGAAUGGAGCCCUGGACGGGGGUGGAGGUGCCACCUUUGGUGUAAGUGGGCCCUUUCACUUGGUCUGGGGGGACAUACCUUGGAGAAAGAACAGUUAGGCUAAGAGGAGAGGGGUGAAACCUUGGACCUUGUCAGCUUAGGUGCUUGAGAAAACACAGGUUACAGCAGUCAAAGUCCUUUCUCACUUUCCCUACUGACUCUCUUUUUUGAACCAAAGGGAAUUUAGCAACUUAGCAAAGUUCUGCCUAACUUGAGCUUCCCCUUUACUGUCAGGUGCUCAUUUUUCUCCUGCAGGGAUGUUCAGUUGGCUCUGGCUUGUGCCGGUCUUCCCCUCAUCUCUCCCUCCUCUUUCUGACACAUCAAACCAUCUGGGUUUCAAGUAAUAACACCUGCAAUCAUGCUGAGCAACAGGUGAUCCUAUUUUCCAACUUCCUACUCAAGGGCCCCCUUUUAUUUCCUGGGAGUAUCUUCAGGUUCCUCCUUCUCUGCCACCUCAUCUUCUAAGUGCUCACGGUCUAUCCUGCCAGCUGCUGCGCCUUCUGAUCAAAUCCCCUUCCACUCCAGUGGAUGUGGUCUCUACUCCGGAUGUAUUUUCUUUAUCCCAAGGACCGCCCCCCGAAGGGACUCCAAAAUUCUGUUUUAUCCACACCAGUCUUGCUCCCUGAAUUCUCUUCUCCACCCCAGAGUUACCCCCAACCGUGCACAGCCCCCCACCCCCCAGAAAUCGAACAAUAGGAAGUGACACCUGGGGAGAGAAAAGGCAAGAGAGAACAGAGAUGCUGUUUCCUCAGCAGGAAAACAGGGGACAUAAGAAUCACGGGUUAAAAGCAUGAAGCUAGAGGACAUGUGCUCCCAGCCACCUCUCUCCAUAAAUGAGAUCAGCUGAGCUAUAAAAAUGAACCCAGACUCCCUAGUGGGGGCCCUAGCUCUCCCCUCCAACCAGUCUACUGUCUCCCCAAAAGAGGGGACAUCAAAUCUGCAAGGUUAGUGACCAAGAGCAAGUUGUUCUUUCCUGUACCUUUGUUAUUUUGAAGUCAGAAUUCGGCCCUAACUGAAUCUGAAGGGAACAGACUCAACCCUCGUCUAGCCUUUGAGAGAAGCCCCAGUUCAGCUCUGGAAACUGGACUGUAAGAUGAAGUGUGUCUUGGACACAUGUCUCCAGAGCAAUCUCUUUCCUCCUCCUUACCAUCUCUUCUUCUCAUAUUUUUCCUGGAGAAACUCCUUCACCUUCUGAGGAUCCCUGGAAUCUGGUAUUAAAGAUGUGCGAGCAUCGAAAAGACCCAGCCAAAUCUUCCUGCAAACCUAAAGGAAUGAAGUCAGGUGGCAAAGAAACUGAGGCAGAAAGCAUGAAAUGGGAGUCAAACCAUUUCCAGCUCAUUCAUCAAUAGACGUUUAUCGAGCAUGGACACAAUGUGAGGAUCUGGGUACACCUACAAAACAGACAUGAUCCCUGCCCUCGCAGAGUGGAUCAUCUAACGGGGAGGUCAUGCCUUAGAUAAAUAAAAAUACAUUUAUAAUGACA